rnacentral:rRNA from 1 species
CCUACGAGUGACAGCAGUGAGGAAUAUUGGUCAAUGGCCGGAAGGCUGAACCAGCCAUGCCGCGUGAAGGUCAGUGCCCUAUGGGCGUUAAACUUCUUUUGUGCGGGAGCAAUAAUGGUCACGUGUGGCCAGACGAGAGUACCGUACGAAUAAGCAUCGGCUAACUCCGUGCCAGCAGACGCGGUAAUACGGGGGAUGCAAGCGUUAGCCGGAUGUAUUGGGUUUAAAGGGUGCUUAGGCUGUGAGGUAAGUCAGCGGUGAAAUGCCACCGCUCAACGGGGUGAAGUGCCAUUUAUACUGCCUUGCUGGAAUGCGGAUGCCGUGGGAGGAAUGUGUGGUGUAGCGGUGAAAUGCAUAGAUAUCACACAGAACACCGAUUGCGAAGGCAUCUCACGAAUCCGCGAUUGACGCUGAUGCACGAAAGCGUGGGUAUCAAACAGGAUUAGAUACCCUUGUAGUC